UUCCGGUUGAUCCCGCCGGAGGUUACUGCUAUUGGUGUUCGACUAAGCCAUGCAAGUCAUAUGUUCCUCGUGAACAUGGCAUACUGCUCAGUAACACGUGGAUAACCUGCCCUUGGGUCUGGGAUAACCCCGGGAAACUGGGGAUAAUACCGGAUAACGCAUAUGUGCUGGAAUGCUUUAUGCGUAAAAUGGAUUCGUCCGCCCAAGGAUGGGUCUGCGGCCUAUCAGGUAGUAGUGGGUGUAAUGUACCUACUAGCCAACAACGGGUACGGGUUGUGAGAGCAAGAGCCCGGAGAUGGAUUCUGAGACAUGAAUCCAGGCCCUACGGGGCGCAGCAGGCGCGAAAACUUUACAAUGCGGGAAACCGUGAUAAGGGAACACCGAGUGCCAGCAUCAUAUGCUGGCUGUCCAGAUGUGUAAACUACAUCUGUUAGCAAGGGCCGGGCAAGACCGGUGCCAGCCGCCGCGGUAACACCGGCGGCCCGAGUGGUGACCGUUAUUAUUGGGUCUAAAGGGUCCGUAGCCGGUUUGGUCAGUCCUCCGGGAAAUCUGAUAGCUUAACUGUUAGGCUUUCGGGGGAUACUGCCAGGCUUGGAACCGGGAGAGGUAAGAGGUACUACAGGGGUAGGAGUGAAAUCUUGUAAUCCCUGUGAGACCACCUGUGGCGAAGGCGUCUUACCAGAACGGGUUCGACGGUGAGGGACGAAAGCUGGGGGCACGAACCGGAUUAGAUACCCGGGUAGUCCCAGCCGUAAACUAUGCUCGCUAGGUGUCAGGCAUGGCGCGACCGUGUCUGGUGCCGCAGGGAAGCCGUGAAGCGAGCCACCUGGGAAGUACGGCCGCAAGGCUGAAACUUAAAGGAAUUGGCGGGGGAGCACAACAACGGGUGGAGCCUGCGGUUUAAUUGGACUCAACGCCGGACAACUCACCGGGGACGACAGCAAUAUGUAGGCCAGGCUGAAGACCUUGCCUGAAUCGCUGAGAGGAGGUGCAUGGCC
rnacentral:rRNA from 1 species